rnacentral:rRNA from 1 species
GACGAACGCUGGCGGCGUGCUUAACACAUGCAAGUCGAACGGAAAGGCCCUGCUUUUGUGGGGUGCUCGAGUGGCGAACGGGUGAGUAACACGUGAGUAACCUGCCCUUGACUUUGGGAUAACUUCAGGAAACUGGGGCUAAUACCGGAUAGGAGCUCCUGCUGCAUGGUGGGGGUUGGAAAGUUUCGGCAGUUGGGGAUGGACUCGCGGCUUAUCAGCUUGUUGGUGGGGUAGUGGCUUACCAAGGCUUUGACGGGUAGCCGGCCUGAGAGGGUGACCGGCCACAUUGGGACUGAGAUACGGCCCAGACUCCUACGGGAGGCAGCAGUGGGGAAUAUUGCACAAUGGGCGGAAGCCUGAUGCAGCAACGCCGCGUGCGGGAUGACGGCCUUCGGGCUGUAAACCGCUUUCGCCUGUGACGAAGCGUGAGUGACGGUAAUGGGUAAAGAAGCACCGGCUAACUACGUG